GUUUUAUAAGGAACAGAAGCCUCCAGAUCUUUUGAAAUCCAUCUUAUAAACUGAAGACGAGACUAAUCUGGAGCAGCUGAGGAGGUGGCAAACACCUACUGAUCUCCUCAAACUUUCCCUAGAGAUGUAAAUGGAGGCUUGAAGGAAGGCAGAAGCAGCCUCACAAGUAUGAAGAAGAGCAGCGCAGCGAGCGACUGAAAAAUAAUCCACCUGACAACAACUGAAGUGCCUCCUCACUGAUUAAAGCAGCAAUGAAAAAUAAAAGUGGGAGAUUAACUUAAGUGAAUACAAAACACCUAGCUAUAAUUAUCUUGUAAUUCUGUCAGCAGAAUACGGCUCUGCAAGGGGCUUUGAGUGUGCAGGAAAGCCAGGGGUAAUUGGCUCUGGUGCUCGUCGGGAAGGGCUGUUUGGGAUGGGCAUGGUGCCGUGCCAGCCCUGCUUGAACGUGGGAUGUUUGCACCAAUAGUGCCAGGGAAACUCCUCUGUCUGGGCUCUGGGCUUUCAGACAUGAAUUUCUGAGGCUGUGACCUUUCUGAAAAUAAAUCACCGAGGUGCCCACCCCAAAAUCAUGAUGUGUGUGAGACUUCACACAACUACCAUUUCUCU